rnacentral:rRNA from 1 species
CCUACGGGUGGCAGCAGUGGGGAAUAUUGCGCAAUGGGCGAAAGCCUGACGCAGCGACGCCGCGUGAGGGAUGAAGGUCUUCGGAACGUAAAGCUCUGUCAGCAGGGAAGAAAGAUCACUGUGCUCAUCAGCAGUGAAUUGACGGUACCUGCAAAGGAGGCACCGGCUAACUACGUGCCAGCAGACGCGGUAAUACGGAGGGUGCGAGCCUGAAUCGGAAUUACGGGGCGGAAAGCGCUCGUAGGCGGCAGGUCAAGUCAAGGGUGAAAUCCCCGGGCCCAACGUGGGGACUGCCUUGGAAACUGGCAGACUGGAGUGUGUGAGAGGAUAGUGGAAUUCCUGGUGUAGGAGUGAAAUCCGUAGAUAUCUGGAGGAACAUCAGUGGCGAAGGCGACUAUCUGGCACAUAACUGACGCUGAGGAGCGAAAGCGUGGGUAGCAAACAGGAUUAGAUACCCGAGUAGUC